rnacentral:rRNA from 1 species
AUAUCAAUAAGCGGAGGAAAAGAAACCAACAGGGAUUGCCUUAGUAGCGGCGAGUGAAGCGGCAAAAGCUCAAAUUUGAAAUCUGGCACUUUCAGUGUCCGAGUUGUAAUUUGAAGAAGGUAUCUUUGGGUCUGGCUCUUGUCUAUGUUUCUUGGAACAGAACGUCACAGAGGGUGAGAAUCCCGUGCGAUGAGAUGUCCCAGACCUAUGUAAAGUUCCUUCGAAGAGUCGAGUUGUUUGGGAAUGCAGCUCUAAGUGGGUGGUAAAUUCCAUCUAAAGCUAAAUAUUGGCGAGAGACCGAUAGCGAACAAGUACAGUGAUGGAAAGAUGAAAAGAACUUUGAAAAGAGAGUGAAAAAGUACGUGAAAUUGUUGAAAGGGAAGGGCUUGAGAUCAGACUUGGUAUUUUGUAUGUUACUCUCUCGGGGGUGGCCUCUACAGUUUACCGGGCCAGCAUCAGUUUGAGCGGUAGGAUAAGUGCAAAGAAAUGUGGCACUGCUUCGGUAGUGUGUUAUAGUCUUUGUCGAUACUGCCAGCUUAGACUGAGGACUGCGGCUUCGACCUAGGAUGUUGGCAUAA